ACGUAGGGGGCAAGCGUUGUCCGGAAUUACUGGGCGUAAAGCGCACGCAGGCGGAUUAAUAAGUCAGAUGUAAAAGGCUGAGGCUCAACCUUGGUUCGUCAUCUGAUACUGUUAGUCUAGAGUAUGUGAGAGGGAAGUGGAACUCCCGGUGUAGCGGUGAAAUGCGUAGAUAUCGGGAAGAACACCAGUGGCGAAGGCGGCUUCCUGGCACAAGACUGACGCUCAUGUGCGAAAGCUAGGGUAGCGAACGG
rnacentral:rRNA from 1 species